UACGAAGGUGGCAAGCGUUGUCCGGAUUUACUGGGCGUAAAGAGCGCGCAGGCGGUCGUUCAAGUCGAGUGUGAAAGCCCCCGGCUCAACUGGGGAGGGUCACUCGAUACUGAUCGACUUGAAGGCAGGAGAGGGAAGCGGAAUUCCCGGUGUAGUGGUGAAAUGCGUAGAUAUUGGGAGGAACACCAGUGGCGAAGGCGACUGUCUGGACGGCACCUGACGCUGAGGCGCGAAAGCCAGGGGAGCAAACGGG
rnacentral:rRNA from 1 species